GGUUAAGCGACUAAGCGUACACGGUGGAUGCCCUGGCAGUCAGAGGCGAUGAAGGACGUGCUAAUCUGCGAAAAGCGUCGGUAAGGUGAUAUGAACCGUUAUAACCGGCGAUGUCCGAAUGGGGAAACCCAGUGCAAUUCGUUGCACUAUCGUUAACUGAAUACAUAGGUUAACGAGGCGAACCGGGGGAACUGAAACAUCUAAGUACCCCGAGGAAAAGAAAUCAACCGAGAUUCCCCCAGUAGCGGCGAGCGAACGGGGAGCAGCCCAGAGUCUGAAUCAGCUUGUGUGUUAGUGGAACGGUCUGGAAAGUCCGACGGUACAGGGUGAUAGUCCCGUACACCAAAAUGCACAGGUUGUGAACUCGAAGAGUAGGGCGGGACACGUGGUAUCCUGUCUGAAUAUGGGGGGACCAUCCUCCAAGGCUAAAUACUCCUGACUGACCGAUAGUGAACCAGUACCGUGAGGGAAAGGCGAAAAGAACCCCGGCGAGGGGAGUGAAAAAGAACCUGAAACCGUGUACGUACAAGCAGUGGGAGCACCUUCGGGUGUGACUGCGUACCUUUUGUAUAAUGGGUCAGCGACUUAUAUUCUGUAGCAAGGUUAACCGUAUAGGGGAGCCGCAGGGAAACCGAGUCUUAACUGGGCGUUAAGUUGCAGGGUAUAGACCCGAAACCCGGUGAUCUAGCCAUGGGCAGGUUGAAGGUUGGGUAACACUAACUGGAGGACCGAACCGACUAAUGUUGAAAAAUUAGCGGAUGACUUGUGGCUGGGGGUGAAAGGCCAAUCAAACCGGGAGAUAGCUGGUUCUCCCCGAAAGCUAUUUAGGUAGCGCCUCGUGAACUCAUCUUCGGGGGUAGAGCACUGUUUCGGCUAGGGGGUCAUCCCGACUUACCAACCCGAUGCAAACUACGAAUACCGAAGAAUGUUAUCACGGGAGACACACGGCGGGUGCUAACGUCCGUCGUGAAGAGGGAAACAACCCAGACCGCCAGCUAAGGUCCCAAAGUCAUGGUUAAGUGGGAAACGAUGUGGGAAGGCACAGACAGCCAGGAUGUUGGCUUAGAAGCAGCCAUCAUUUAAAGAAAGCGUAAUAGCUCACUGGUCGAGUCGGCCUGCGCGGAAGAUGUAACGGGGCUAAACCAUGCACCGAAGCUGCGGCAGCGACACUAUGUGUUGUUGGGUAGGGGAGCGUUCUGUAAGCCUGCGAAGGUGUGCUGUGAGGCAUGCUGGAGGUAUCAGAAGUGCGAAUGCUGACAUAAGUAACGAUAAAGCGGGUGAAAAGCCCGCUCGCCGGAAGACCAAGGGUUCCUGUCCAACGUUAAUCGGGGCAGGGUGAGUCGACCCCUAAGGCGAGGCCGAAAGGCGUAGUCGAUGGGAAACAGGUUAAUAUUCCUGUACUUGGUGUUACUGCGAAGGGGGGACGGAGAAGGCUAUGUUAGCCGGGCGACGGUUGUCCCGGUUUAAGCAUGUAGGCUGGUUAUCCAGGCAAAUCCGGAUAAUCAAGGCUGAGGUGUGAUGACGAGGCACUACGGUGCUGAAGUAACAAAUGCCCUGCUUCCAGGAAAAGCCUCUAAGCAUCAGGUAACAUCAAAUCGUACCCCAAACCGACACAGGUGGUCAGGUAGAGAAUACCAAGGCGCUUGAGAGAACUCGGGUGAAGGAACUAGGCAAAAUGGUGCCGUAACUUCGGGAGAAGGCACGCUGGUGUGUAGGUGAAGCCCCUGCGGGUGGAGCUGAGACCAGUCGAAGAUACCAGCUGGCUGCAACUGUUUAUUAAAAACACAGCACUGUGCAAACACGAAAGUGGACGUAUACGGUGUGACGCCUGCCCGGUGCCGGAAGGUUAAUUGAUGGGGUUAUCCGUAAGGAGAAGCUCUUGAUCGAAGCCCCGGUAAACGGCGGCCGUAACUAUAACGGUCCUAAGGUAGCGAAAUUCCUUGUCGGGUAAGUUCCGACCUGCACGAAUGGCGUAAUGAUGGCCAGGCUGUCUCCACCCGAGACUCAGUGAAAUUGAACUCGCUGUGAAGAUGCAGUGUACCCGCGGCAAGACGGAAAGACCCCGUGAACCUUUACUAUAGCUUGACACUGAACAUUGAGCCUUGAUGUGUAGGAUAGGUGGGAGGCUUUGAAGCGUGGACGCCAGUCUGCGUGGAGCCAACCUUGAAAUACCACCCUUUAAUGUUUGAUGUUCUAACGUUGGCCCCUGACCGGGGUUGCGGACAGUGUCUGGUGGGUAGUUUGACUGGGGCGGUCUCCUCCCAAAGCGUAACGGAGGAGCACGAAGGUUAGCUAAUCCUGGUCGGACAUCAGGAGGUUAGUGCAAUGGCAUAAGCUAGCUUGACUGCGAGCGUGACGGCGCGAGCAGGUGCGAAAGCAGGUCAUAGUGAUCCGGUGGUUCUGAAUGGAAGGGCCAUCGCUCAACGGAUAAAAGGUACUCCGGGGAUAACAGGCUGAUACCGCCCAAGAGUUCAUAUCGACGGCGGUGUUUGGCACCUCGAUGUCGGCUCAUCACAUCCUGGGGCUGAAGUAGGUCCCAAGGGUAUGGCUGUUCGCCAUUUAAAGUGGUACGCGAGCUGGGUUUAGAACGUCGUGAGACAGUUCGGUCCCUAUCUGCCGUGGGCGCUGGAGAAUUGAGGGGGGCUGCUCCUAGUACGAGAGGACCGGAGUGGACGCAUCACUGGUGUUCGGGUUGUCAUGCCAAUGGCACUGCCCGGUAGCUAAAUGCGGAAGAGAUAAGUGCUGAAAGCAUCUAAGCACGAAACUUGCCCCGAGAUGAGUUCUCCCUGAGACUUUAAGUCUCCUGAAGGAACGUUGAAGACGACGACGUUGAUAGGCCGGGUGUGUAAGCGCAGCGAUGCGUUGAGCUAACCGGUACUAAUGAACCGUGAGGCUUAACCUU
rnacentral:rRNA from 1 species